UACAGAGGGGGCAAGCGUUGUUCGGAAUUACUGGGCGUAAAGGGCGCGUAGGCGGCCUGUUAAGUCGAACGUGAAAUCCCCGGGCUACACCGGGAACUGCGUCCGUAUACUGGCAGGCUUGAGUGUGGCAGAGGGGGGUGGAAUUCCACGUGUAGCAGUGAAAUGCGUAGAGAUGUGGAGGAACACCGAUGGCGAAGGCAGCCCCCUGGGCUAACACUGACGCUCAGGCACGAAAGCGUGGGGAGCAAACAGG
rnacentral:rRNA from 1 species